ACUAAAAUACCAUUAUACUAGGAAAGGAAAAGACAAUUUUUUAUAAAAAGGAGGGAAUUAUUGUUUUUUUGUAAUAAUGUUAGCAGAGUACACACAAGAAGAAAAGUAAUUGCACUAGAUUGUAAAGAGGGUGGACCUCUUUCUUAAUGUCCAGUGUCCUUUCCCUUAAGAUUUGGUUUAAUAGAU